UACGUAGGGGGCUAGCGUUGUCCGGAAUCAUUGGGCGUAAAGAGCGUGUAGGCGGCCCGGUAAGUCCGCCGUGAAAGUCCAGGGCUCAACCCUGGAAUGCCGGUGGAAACUGCCGGGCUGGAGUCCGGAAGAGGCGAGUGGAAUUCCUGGUGUAGCGGUGAAAUGCGCAGAUAUCAGGAGGAACACCAAUGGCGAAGGCAGCUCGCUGGGACGAUACUGACGCUGAGACGCGAAAGCGUGGGGAGCAAACAGG
rnacentral:rRNA from 1 species